rnacentral:rRNA from 1 species
UACGUAGGGGCCUAGCGUUGUCCGGAUUUAUUGGGCGUAAAGAGCUCGUAGGCGGUUCGGUAAGUCAGGUGUGAAAUCUCCACGCUCAACGUGGAGGCGCCACCUGAAACUGCCGUGCCUCGAGUCCGGUAGGGGGAGUGUGGAAUUCCCGGUGUGAGCGGUGAAAUGCGCAGAUAUCGGGAGGAACACCAGUAGCGAAGGCGGCACUCUGGGCCGGUACUGACGCUGAGGAGCG